GGGAGGAGCACACUGGAGGCCAGCCUCCAGGACUCGGCAAGGCCCUGUCCCAAAGGAAAGGAAAAAGGGCCCUGGAUGAAGUCCCCGGGACUUCAAAGGUUCCUCCUCGAGGCUUCAAAUUUGCUAUGUCCCUUCCCCAGGCAGGUCACCCUGGGCCAACCUGUAUCCCCAAAGGGAGGUCAUUCUCAGCAGCAGCCUUCACCAUGUCACCAUCACCGAGGCCCUUGACCACAGGGCAUGUGCAGAGCCAGGAGCAGGAGGCAGAGGAGGGGGAGGAGCACUGGAAAAGGCCGGACAAUGGACAAGAGCUUUUAAAUUAAUUAAAAUAAUAAGGGCCAUGGUGGCCCAAGGGCAAAGAGCCAAGUGUGCCUCCUCCGAGCAUGGGACACUCCUCUCCAUCUCGACAUCCACAGCCUGAGGAUCCAGUUCUGCGGGUUUGGGGCAGGAGGCCCCAGCUGGAGUCCCCACGGGUGGGACAGUUGGGGGGAUGAUUGGGGCUGAGUCAUCUUGGCCGAGGCCAGGAGGAGGGUGUGGCCCACUGGCGCAGUGCUGGCGACUCCGGCUUCUCUCUGACACGGCAGAACUCGGUUCAUCACGGCAGCGUCUCCUCGUGCCAUGUGGCAUUGACAGCAGAAUCUGCCUGAGCCUGACCCUGGGGUGACCUGGUGAGGACCCCAACCCUGGGGCAGGAAGCAGGGAACAUGGGAAGAAUGGGCUAGCUCGAUCCCUGCCCUAGACCCCAAUAAUGUCCUGACCCGGGAUGUGACUCCGUGGUAGGGCGUCUGCCUAGCACGAGGCCCUGGGCCCUCAUGGGACCAGCACCACAGAAAAUAGUGAAGAAUGUCCUCAUCCGCAAAACUGGAAGGAGGCCCCACCCAUCUACCCAAGAAGUUCUCCUUUCUUCACAUCUUUCAAAUUGAGAUGUGGGCCGGGCACAGUGACCCCCCGCCUGUCAUCUCAGUGACUCGGGAGGCUGAGGCAGGAGGAUCUCGAGUUCAAGGCCAGCCUCAGCAACAGUGAGGCCCUAAGCAACUCAGUGAGACCCUGUCUCUAAAUAAAACACAGAACAGGGCUGGGGACGGGGCUCAGUGGUCGAGGCCCCUGGGUUCAAUCCCUGGGACCAAAAUAAGUAAAUAAAUUAAUUAAAAUAAAAUUAAGGUGGAGUUUGUAGUUGAUGUGUCCUGGAUGUGGUGAGCUCUGGUG
rnacentral:lncRNA from 1 species